UAUAUGCAAUUCUAUAUGCCUAUAUUGCAGUAUUUUAAUACUGCAAUAUAGGCAUAUAGAAUUGCACUAU